ensembl:snRNA U2 U2 spliceosomal RNA
AUCGCUUCUCGGCCUUUUGGCUAAGAUCAAGUGUAGUGUAUACUCUUUAUGAAUAAUUACAAGCAAAUAAUGAAAUUCUCAUUUUUACCUUAAAAAAAAAAGAGACCGGUU